AGCAUGCAGUUCUUCACACACACUUUAUCCUCUAGCACUAUGAAAGAUGGAGCAGUUUGGUAUAAUAGUUUUACGAGAGUUGGAGCCACAGGGAAGUCAGCGGUCUUCACGUUUGGAAUGCAGAAGCUUGAGGUCACCAGGAAAGCCUUCUCCUGUGAUGGACACAGAGGGGUGCAUGUGUCUAAUAGUAGUUGGCAACUGGAUAUGGAGAAUGUAAACAAGAACUUAUGCGGGAUGCAGAUUAAACGAGGGAAGUUCAUACACUUCCAUUUAUCUGUAACAAAUGAUGCUGAGUUUCAGCAUGGAUGAUGAUAAAAACUCCGAAACUAUCAUCUCUCAAACAAUCUCAUUGCUGUCCUCUAAAGGUUUGCCCACUGGGAUGUUGAUAUCCACUGAGCCCCUAAAAAUCAGCUGAUAGCAGUGUGAGUAAGUUCUGGGGUGCCAAAACCUCACUAAGAAGGUCACAUCUGGAAGAACUGAGAAGCGAACCCCACAGAAUUCAAGAUUGACCUGUGGUGGACUCCACUGUGUUUACUGCCAAUUUGGGAUGAUGCGUUGCUGUAAAGUGCUACCAAUAAAUGGGAAGUUUGGGCUAGCAGGAAAAGAACAGCAUGAUGCAAAACUAUACUCAGACCGGAGUGCUUACCAGUGUGUUUGCCAGACAGAAGGAGGUUUAUUUCCUUCUCAUAAGAGCUGCUAACUGCACUGCAGUGGUGGAAAUGACCGUGAACUUCAGAAUUCAAGAAGGCUGUUCUAAAAAAUACUGCAAAAAGUGUGAAAAUGCUCUAAAAGUAUAGCUGGUCAUCCUAAGUACAAAUGAGAGAUCUACAAGGUGUUAUUCCACCAGAGGAAGAUCCUGUACUCUGCAGUCCCACUACGGACCUGACUGUGGCAGAGGAGGAGCAGCCAUCUACUUACAGGUCAAUUCUGAAAGGGUACUCUGAAGCGCUGGAACAUUUAACUCACAGUGAAGAAAUACUGCCCAGCUUCUGUUCAACAUCAUCGUCAGCCGCUUGGUUGGGCGAUUCUGGCCAGUGCACAAGGAACUGUAGGAGCCCUUCAGUGAUUACAGGACACCACAGAUGGCAUCUGCAAGGCUGAACCAUGGGGAUGAUGCUGCCGUUUUUGCAGGCAAAAGCUAUAGAAAAGUGAAGCAGGAGUCCCAAGAAAAUGCCUGGACUCAUGAGUUUAGAUAAAAAUGUUUAAAGACUACUUUAGAAGAGAAAGGCAAAGUUAGAAGACAAAAUGAAGUCAAGAUGUGCCCUUCUUACAGAGUUAACUGUCAUGCAGUAUGCCAGGCAACUGUUACUAUGAG
rnacentral:lncRNA from 1 species